UACAGUCUGAAGAUGCUUUACACGUGUACUUGGCCUCGAUUCGAAACCCAACACUGACGUUCUACCGGUGUAUCUAAUUUUGAAACGUAAAGAAGGAAACGAGAAGAUACAUCGCGGAACUAUUAUUUUAACGUGUUAUAUCUAUUCAUCACCAGAAGAGACACAUCUGCACCGUCGGAUGCUCCUGAAUCAGUUGUGAACUAUCCUUCCCGCGAGACUAAAAUUUAAAACGUUCAACUUCUCAAGAUGUUCGUUGAGAAAUGCUACUCCCACCCACCGAUUAUCAUCGUUAAGAAAUUCAAAUCCAGAAUUUUCAGCUUCGAAGAAACAUUAUUUCAGUUCGCAAAGAAGUAAAUCAAGAGAGCACUUUUCCUUUCGAGAGUCACCGCACUUCUGUAUGAAGCAGUAAACACCUAAAAUCAGAAUCCAUAGUUUCACAUACGGAUGCAAAAUGUCUGCAGCAUCUAUGACGAUGAAGUGCCAAGAAGAAAAAGAAAACCGUAAACAAAGCAACGAACGAAAUUAGUUGACAACCUAAUAGAAACAUAUAACGAAUUCCUCGGCAGAACCAACAGAGCGUAGGAACUUAAUUUGUAGAAUACCCUGCCAGAAUCAGUAGGAUGCAAGGGCAAUGUGCAUGUAGCAUUCUUAUGCAUGUGGGGUCGGGUGCAAAAAAUAUACACCAGUCAAUGACAGGAAGGAUAUUAUAAGCGGCAAUAACGGUACUUUCUAAAAUGUCCGGUCAAGCUAGGUAAUAUAUUGGACAUGCUCCACUGCAUCCAGCAUUUGUUAAUAUUCUCUCCUGGCGGAUGACAAACUGCACCACUCAAGGGACAACUCCUCUAACCAAUUCUGUCCUGCAGGGUUUUCCUCAUACGACGUACCUAUAAAGGGAGUCGAGGCACUUUCCCGGAGGAGAGAAUUUGAUGGAUCUGUUUGGAUAGUCGUUAUUACCAGGUGGGUUUUUUUUAUGAGGGCGGAGUAUAAAUCGUCUCUAAACACCUUUUAGUCGCCUUUUACGACACACAGAGGAAACACUGGAUCUAUACUUUCACAUAACAUUCCCCUCUCAGUUCCUUAAAAGAAUCUUCAAAUAUUCACAAAAAUUCACAAAAUAUGACACAGUCCUAAAUUAUGCAUCAUUUCGAAAUUUACAUAUUUAUGUUAUGACUUGCAGUAUAUGUUCUGGCUCUUUACAUCCUGUGUUCAAAUCGUACAGAGAUCAGUAUAUGAGACAGAGAGAUAGAUAGAGAUAAAUAGAUAGAUAAAUAGACAGCUAGAUAGAUAGAAAGAGAGAGAGAGAGAGAGAGAGAGAGAGAGAGAGCGUGUGUGUGUGUGUGUGUGUGUAUGUGUGUGUGUGUGUGUAUGUGUGUGUGUGUGUGUGUGCAUGUGUAUUUUCUAAGUGAUUUCUAAGCCUGGUAGAAAUAAUGGUCAUGCUUCCUUCAAAUUAUAGCCCACCAUCCGAAACAAAGCUCAGCUGGGUCGAUAACAUAAAGUACUAACUAAGUAGUAAGAUCAAUAUAUCCGACUGUUCAAUACUCCAACAAUUCGAUGUCCCGUUCUAGUUUUAGAAAUCAAUAUUUAUGAAAAGAGAGAAAAAUUAAAACGAGCAAACAAGUAAGCAGCAGGUGUAAUUUACAAGUUGAUAUUACUUUUACUAUUCUGACAAUGCUUCAAUUACUUGUCUGAUUAUCGAUUCUUCGGCAAUCGCUUUGCUAUUUAUUCCUAUCUUUCACAAAUUUAAUACUUCUGUAAAACGACGAAAGUCCAGAAAAGAUCAAACAGACAGGAUCAAUAUAGCAAAGCAAUUUUUGAUAUAUAUAUAUAUAUAUAUAUAUAUAUAUAUAUGUAUUAUAUAUGGUUUAUAUUAUGAAAUUUUAGCAAGAAUAAAUUCUAUAUUCGAAAUAGAUUUGAAAAUGUGAAAAAGAAAAAUUUCUUAAGAUCUUCUUAUUUGGAAAGUAAAGUCUGUCUGCUGUGUAAACUUUUUAAAUAUGGUUCAUGAAGAAAUGUCACAUAUUUU